rnacentral:sRNA from 1 species
CAGCUGUUACCGCCGACAUGGCGCGUAACAAAAGCCGGGUUCAUCGGUAACGGGAACCCG